AUGGGGGCCCGUUCGCAGGUUGCUCUGACCCAGUUGGGUCCCGAAGUGAAGCAGCCCGGAGAAUCCACUCAGCUGAAAUGCGCCGUGAGCGGGUUUGUCCCUAACGACCGCUGGAUGGACUGGGUCAGGCAGCAGCCGGGAAAGGGCCUGGAGUGGCUGGUUCACUAUCGCCAAUCUUCAGUCACGAAUUUCUACGCCCCCUCCAUCCAGGAGCGAUUCACAGCCUCCACGGACAGCGCCAACUUCUACCUGCAAAUGACCGGCCUGAAAGCGGAGGACGCCGCCGUGUAUUACUGUGGGAGAUGCAAGACCACCUGA